rnacentral:tRNA from 1 species
GGGUCAGUCACGGUCACGGGCGGACUGCCUGCCGCCCAGGUCAAGGCCGUAGUCCUCGAAGAUCAGACCGAUUUGCAAGCAGGAAGUCAGGAGUUCGAAUCUCCUAGGCUCCA